rnacentral:rRNA from 1 species
UACAGAGGUCUCGAGCGUUGUUCGGAUUCAUUGGGCGUAAAGGGUGCGUAGGUGGCGCCGUAAGUCGGGUGUGAAAUUUCGGAGCUUAACUCCGAAACUGCAUUCGAUACUGCGGUGCUUGAGGACUGGAGAGGAGACUGGAAUUCAUGGUGUAGCAGUGAAAUGCGUAGAGAUCAUGAGGAAGACCAGUGGCGAAGGCGGGUCUCGUGGACAGUUCCUGACACUGGAGGCACGAAGGCCAGGGGAGCAAACGGG